UAAGUCAAUGCUCCAAGUCUGCUGGAAGUUGUGUCUUUAAUGAGAUACUGAAGCAUUUCUUCUUACAGUAGUUGUCAUUGAACCUUAUGCCUGUUGAAAAUAAAUAAAUCAAUUGUGUUUUCUUUUUGAAGUUUUCAAAACUAGAGUAGAUUUUGUGCUUUCCAAAUGUCUGGUAAUAAGUGCAUUUCAUAUCUGUAACUGUGUGUAAUGAGAUUUAUUUCUAGACCGUCAAGAUUUUCUGGUUCUCUAUAAUCGAUGAGAAAAGGAAAGGUGAACUCUGUUUUCUACAACCCUAAAAAAUCAAAACACAACUUUCAACUGUUAAACCUACAAAAUCUAUUGAAAUGAUUCUAAUCCUUUUUUGUCAUUUGAACUGUCCUUUUCUAUGUAAGUUUUUGUGAAGAAGAGGAAAAGGAAAACCAAACUCUGUUUUCUACAAAAUCAGAACACAACUUCUAAACGUUAAACCUGCAAAAUCUAUUGAAAAGAUUCUCUGUGAGUUUCUAUGAAGAAGAGUUCACGAACGUCAUCAAAAAGUCCUUUUCAAUUCUUGAAACUUCUCUCCCAAGGUUUUUAUUAUUAUUAGUUUUUAACCUUUAAAUUUCAUAAGAGUAAUUUAGAAGAAUCUAUAUGCAAAAUAGCUAGCUAAUAUAAAGUUCUUAGUUUGUAUGUUUUAAAUGUAAAAUUAUAUUUAGUCUUCUAUGGUCAUUUUUAAACCAAGCUAGAUAAAACCUUUACAUUUCGUUUGCCAUAAAAUUGCCUAUACCAUGUUUUUCUACUAUGAUUUAGUUACCAAAAAAUGUUGGAUUAAUGCAAGUAGCAUUGACGGUGGGAGUUGUAAUACACAUUCUAUAUGUUAUUUCAGUAAUUUAUAUUCAUGAAUAGUAUCACCUUGCUGGUCCUGGAACAAAGUUUUAAGAUUCCAACAACAGAUAUCCCUCAAACCAGGUUGAGUGCAAAAAAUCCAUACUUCAUUUUGCCCCAUGAAAGGAAGUGUUGGUGAAAAUCGAUUCUUUCAGUUUUCAUUUUCAUAACUAUUUUUUCUUGUUGAAGAAUCUCUGCCACAAGUGGGGAAACAUAGCUCCAUCAGAGGUUGCUGCUAAAGUGAAGUAUUUCUUCAAGUACUACGCAAUCAAUGGACCCAACUUGACUGUCUUAACACCUGCCUACCAUGCCGAGAGUUACUCGCUAGAGUAUAACAGAUUCGACCUGCGCCAGUUCCUCUAUAACAAAACAUGGCCAUAUCAGUCCCGAAAGAAUGAUGAACUAGUGUGUCAGGUCGGUGGUGGCAAAGUUGCUGCUUCGAAAUCAAACGGACAGGAAAAUGGGGAUAUUGCCAAUGGCCAUGGAAACGGGUUGGGAGUUGUGGCUACAGGACCUGGAAAUCCAAAAGCCGGCCUUUAAACUUAGAAAAGCAUGAAUAAAGGCAACAUUGACAAGUUUAUCCCCUUCUCUAGUUCAUUGGAAAUUUAAUACGAGUCUCUUAAGCAUGUAUUGUUUUUCUAGUUAGAUUAUCUAUCUAUUAGUAACAAUGUGUAGGCCACUUUUCCUACCUCCAAGUAUGGAACCAGAUCAUAGUUAGCAAUUUGUUCAUAUGUAAAAAAGAAUUUGGUAUGGCAAAUGUUCAAGUAAUGUCGAAACCACACCUAA